AUUGCGGCGAUUACCACCGGCGUUCGAUUCGAAGGCGCUUUGAAUUCGACGCUUUCAGAAAUGGAACGCAAUUUGAUCUCAAUUCCAGGGGUUAAAACUAUCGUCACUUUGCUCUCCCCGAUGACCAGCCCUAGCUACUCAGCUCACGCAAAUUUCUCUGUCGACGAUUUAGCUCGGAUGGUUGUGGCCCCGUCAUCG
rnacentral:ribozyme from 1 species